rnacentral:RNase_P_RNA from 1 species
AUACCCAAAUAGACAAUCGCUCCAUCGUGCCACUGGUACAGUGUGAGAGGAAAGUCCGGACACUCCCGUCUUUUUUAAGGCGGAGCAGGGUAGCGGGUAACACCCGUCAGGUGAAAACCGAGGGAUGCGAGCAGUGACGCCUGAGCUGAGAAGCAACGGCACCUCUCUGAGGUGAAUGCUAUGGCAACAUAGUGGUGAAACGGCUAAAUUCCUACCUGGGUGCAAGGUCGUGCCGAGGCAGCAAUGCCACGGAGUGCCGCACAGAACACACCGGUAACGGUAUGUCAAGAUAAAUGAUUGUCACCCGCAUAAGCGGGUACAGAAUCCGGCUUAUCGUUUGGGUCAAUGA